ensembl:lncRNA
GUGCUCUCGCGAUAUCUGGCUCCUGGGGGUUUCUCCAUUGGUGCUGCUGCCGUGACGACGUGCUAGGAAGGCUGUGAGGAGCCUCGCUGGCCCCAGGAAGAGGUUUGGGGAGGAUAUUCCUAGCAGCUGCCUAAAGCAUUGGUUUCGGGGGUCCUUCCUGCUUCUCCUCUGCUCAGCACUGGCUGCCCAUAUGUGCUUUUCCUUGGUGGAAUGAGAAGACACCUCUGGACAAGCUGACGAGCUCCCAGACCCAAUGCUCUUCCUCAGUGACUCAUAUUGAAAUCCAUGAUCAGCAUAAACCCCAGUGGCUUUUUCCAGUUAUUAACUGAUGUUGAGUUAGGUGUGCCACUGUGCUGAGAAAUAGAGAAAAAAGAAGACCAUAUGAAGACAUAGCAAUGGUGAGACACAUCGAAAAAAUACCAUGCUGAGGAUGCAAGCAGAGAUUGGAGUAAUGUAUCAACACAGCAGGGAACACUAGGGGUUGCUGACAACUGCCACCAACUAGGAGCAGACAAGGAAGGGCUCUCCCUACUGCCUGCAUGGCCCUGCCAGCACCUGACUUCAGACUUCUGGCCUCUGGCCUUCUGAUGAAUUCUCUACAGUGAGAGAAUAAAGUUCUGUUAUUUUAAGCCACCAAAAAUAAAAUAAGAUUAAAAAAUAUAUAAAAUUAAAUAGAGAAGAUAAAAUGUAAACUAACAAAAUAUAAAUAAAAAUAGAAGCAAAAUAAAAUACUAAUGAAGCAGUCAUAUAGCCAUCAGUAGUAUUCAUCUUUACAUGCAUAGUUAUGUGGUCAACCAGUUGCUCUCAGAAAUUAUGAACUAUGAAAAGAACAAAUCAGCUGUCCAUAUUUAGGCAAUUAAUGUGUCCAAGUGGAGGCUUGUCCUGUU